CUCAGAACGAACGCGGGCGGCGUGCCUAACACAUGCAAGUCGAACGGAUUUGAGGGGCUUGCUCCUCAAGUUAGUGGCGCACGGGUGAGUAACGCGUAGAUAAUCUGCCCGACGAUCUGGGAUAACACUUCGAAAGGGGUGCUAAUACCGGAUAAGCCCACGUGGUCUUUGGACCGUGCGGGAAAAGGGGGGGACCUUCGGGCCUUCUGUCGUCGGAUGAGUCUGCGUACCAUUAGCUAGUUGGUAGGGUAAUGGCCUACCAAGGCUACGAUGGUUAGCUGGUCUGAGAGGAUGAUCAGCCACACUGGAACUGAGACACGGUCCAGACUCCUACGGGAGGCAGCAGUGGGGAAUUUUGCGCAAUGGGCGAAAGCCUGACGCAGCAACGCCGCGUGAGUGAUGAAGGCUUUCGGGUCGUAAAGCUCUGUCAGGGGGAAAGAAGUGUAUUGUGGCUAAUAUCCACGAUACUUGACGGUACCCCCAAAGGAAGCACCGGCUAACUCCGUGCCAGCAGCCGCGGUAAUACGGAGGGUGCGAGCGUUGUUCGGAAUUAUUGGGCGUAAAGCGCGUGUAGGCGGUUUGUUAAGUCUGAUGUGAAAGCCCCGGGCUCAACCUGGGAAGUGCAUUGGAAACUGGCAGACUUGAAUACGGGAGAGGGUAGUGGAAUUCCUAGUGUAGGAGUGAAAUCCGUAGAUAUUAGGAGGAACACCGGUGGCGAAGGCGGCUGCCUGGACCGAUAUUGACGCUGAGACGCGAAAGCGUGGGUAGCAAACAGGAUUAGAUACCCUGGUAGUCCACGCCGUAAACGAUGAGUACUAGGUGUUGCGGGUAUUGACCCCUGCAGUGCCGCAGCUAACGCAUUAAGUACUCCGCCUGGGAAGUACGGUCGCAAGACUAAAACUCAAAU
rnacentral:rRNA from 1 species